rnacentral:rRNA from 1 species
GACGAACGCUGGCGGCGUGCUUAACACAUGCAAGUCGAACGAGAAUCACUGGAAGGAGUUUUCGGACAACGGAAGGUGAGGACAGUGGCGGACGGGUGAGUAACGCGUGAGGAACCUGCCUUUCAGAGGGGGACAACAGUUGGAAACGACUGCUAAUACCGCAUGACACAUAGAGAUCGCAUGGUUUUUAUGUCAAAGAUUUAUCGCUGAAAGAUGGCCUCGCGUCUGAUUAGCUAGUUGGUGAGGUAACGGCCCACCAAGGCGACGAUCAGUAGCCGGACUGAGAGGUUGACCGGCCACAUUGGGACUGAGAUACGGCCCAGACUCCUACGGGAGGCAGCAGUGGGGAAUAUUGGGCAAUGGGCGCAAGCCUGACCCAGCAACGCCGCGUGAAGGAAGAAGGCUUUCGGGUUGUAAACUUCUUUUGUCGGGGACGAGUAGAAGACGGUACCUGGCGAAUAAGCCACGGCUAACUACGUGCCAGCAGCCGCGGUAAUACGUAGGUGGCAAGCGUUGUCCGGAUUUACUGGGUGUAAAGGGCGUGUAGCCGGGAAGGCAAGUCAGAUGUGAAAUCCACGGGCUUAACUCGUGAACUGCAUUUGAAACUACUUUUCUUGAGUAUCGGAGAGGCAAUCGGAAUUCCUAGUGUAGCGGUGAAAUGCGUAGAUAUUAGGAGGAACACCAGUGGCGAAGGCGGAUUGCUGGACGACAACUGACGGUGAGGCGCGAAAGC